ACAAGAGUGACAGGUGGUGCAUGGUUGUCGUCAGCUCGUGUCGUGAGAUGUUGGGUUAAGUCCCGCAACGAGCGCAACCCUUAUCUUCAGUAGCCAGCAAUUCGGUUGGGCACUCUGGAGAGACUGCCAGGGAUAACCUGGAGGAAGGUGGGGAUGACGUCAAAUCAUCAUGCCCCUUAUGAUUUGGGCUACACACGUGCUACAAUGGCGUAAACAAAGGGAAGCAGCCCUGUGAAGGUGAGCAAAUCCCAAAAAUAACGUCUCAGUUCGGAUUGUAGUCUGCAACUCGACUACAUGAAGCUGGAAUCGCUAGUAAUCGCGAAUCAGAAUGUCGCGGUGAAUACGUUCCCGGGUCUUGUACACACCGCCCGUCACACCAUGGGAGUCGGAAAUGCCCGAAGUCAGUGACCCAACCGUAAGGAGGGAGCUGCCGAAGGUGGAGCCGGUAACUGGGGUGAAGUCGUAACAAGGUAGCCGUAUCGGAAGGUGCGGCUGGAUCACCUC
rnacentral:rRNA from 1 species